rnacentral:rRNA from 1 species
UUAUGGCUCAGGAUUAACGCUGGCGGCGUGCCUAAUACAUGCAAGUCGAAUGGUAGUAGCAAUACAAACCAUGGCGAACGGGUGAGUAACACGUAGGUAACCUGUCUUUAAGACGAGGAUAACCAUUGGAAACGAUGGAUAAUACUGGAUAGGACAUCAUAAAGGGCAUCCUUAGAUGUUUAAAGAUUAUUAUGUCACUUAGAGAGGGGCCUGCGGCGCAUUAGCUAGUUGGUGAGGUAAAAGCCCACCAAGGCGAUGAUGCGUAGCCGGACUGAGAGGUUGAACGGCCACAAUGGAACUGAGAACGGUCCAUACUCCUACGGGAGGCAGCAGUAGGGAAUUUUCGGCAAUGGGCGCAAGCCUGACCGAAGCAACGCCGCGUGAACGAAGAAGUUAUUCGUAAUGUAAAGUUCUUUUAUCUGGGAAGAAAAAACAAAUUGACGGUACCAGAUGAAUAAGCUCCGGCUAACUACGUGCCAGCAGCAGC